UCCGGCUUAUCACCGGCAGUUUCUUUAGAGUGCCCAACUAAAUGGUGGCAACUAAAGACGAGGGUUGCGCUCGUUGCGGGACUUAACCCAACAUCUCACGACACGAGCUGACGACAGCCAUGCACCACCUGUCACCGCCCCCGAAGGACCCCCCAUCUCUGGAGGAUUAGCGAUGAUGUCAAACCCAGGUAAGGUUCUUCGCGUUGCAUCGAAUUAAGCCACAUACUCCACCGCUUGUGCAGGCCCCCGUCAAUUUCUUUGAGUUUUAGCCUUGCGGCCGUACUCCCCAGGCGGGGAACUUAAUGCGUUAGCUGCGGCACCGACGACGUGGAAUGUCGCCAACACCUAGUUCCCAACGUUUACGGCGUGGACUAC
rnacentral:misc_RNA from 1 species